GAGUUUCGGUGUAGCAAUACAUCGGAGCUUCUAGUGGCGCACGGGUGAGUAACACGUGGGUAACCUGUCCUCGAGUUCGGGAUACCCUCUCGAAAGGGAGGCUAAUACCGGAUACGUUCCUCGGAUUGCGAAAUCUGGGGAGGAAAGGUGGCGAAAGCUACCGCUCUUGGAGGGGCUCGGGGCCUAUCAGCUAGUUGGUAAGGUAACGGCUCACCAAGGCUAUGCCGGGUAGCUGUUCUGAGAGGACGACCAGCCACAUUGGGACUGAGACACGGCCCAAACUCCUACGGGAGGCAGCAGUGGGGAAUCUUGCGCAAUGGGCGAAAGCCUGACGCAGCCAUGCCGCGUGGAUGAUGAAGGUCUUAGGAUUGUAAAAUCCUUUCACCGGUGAAGAUAAUGACUGUAGCCGGAGAAGAAGCCCCGGCUAACUUCGUGCCAGCAGCCGCAGUAACAC
rnacentral:rRNA from 1 species